rnacentral:rRNA from 1 species
AUACGUAUGGGGCGAGCGUUGUCCGGAAUGAUUGGGCGUAAAGGGUACGUAGGCGGUUAAUUAAGUCGAGUGUGGAAGGUUGGGGCUCAACCCCAUAAAGCAUUCGAAACUGGUUAACUUGAGAUGUGGAGAGGAAAGUGGAAUUCCUAGUGUAGCGGUGACAUGCGUAGAUAUUAGGAGGAAUACCAGUAGCGAAGGCGACUUUCUGGACAAAUAGUGACGCUGUGGUACGAAAGCGUGGGGAGCAAACGGGAUUAGAUACCCGGGUAGUCCACGCCGUAAACGAUGAAUGCUAGGUGUCGGGGGUCAAACCUCGGUGCCGCCGCUAACGCAUUAAGCAUUCCGCCUGGGGAGUACGCACGCAAGUGUGAAACUCAAAGGAAUUGACGGGG